rnacentral:tRNA from 1 species
GGGAGCAUGGGGUAAUCAGGCCAUCCUAGCGGGCUCCAGACCCGUAGAUCUGGGUUCGAAUCCCAGUGCUCCCA